AGUGAACGCUGGCGGUAGGCCUAACACAUGCAAGUCGAACGGCAGCACAGUAAGAGCUUGCUCUUACGGGUGGCGAGUGGCGGACGGGUGAGGAAUACAUCGGAAUCUACUUUUUCGUGGGGGAUAACGAAGGGAAACUUACGCUAAUACCGCAUACGACCUACGGGUGAAAGCAGGGGAUCUUCGGACCUUGCGCGAUUGAAUGAGCCGAUGUCGGAUUAGCUAGUUGGCGGGGUAAAGGCCCACCAAGGCGACGAUCCGUAGCCGGUGUGAGAGGAUGGUCGCCCGCCUUGGAGGUUGACCAGCCACCAGGCUCCUGAGGUAGGGAGCAGUCGCGUACGGUAGGCAGUGGUGGGGAACAUUGCCCAGCCAGCCCAAGUCGGAGGCGGAGGCGCCCCGUUUGUAAUGCCCGUUUGUGGGUUGUAAACAGCUUCAGCUUGUUACGACGCGUUUGUGACGGUAACGGAUGAAUAAGCACCGGCUAACUUCGUG
rnacentral:rRNA from 1 species